rnacentral:lncRNA from 1 species
ACCAUUAUAUAGGAUAGACCACCCAAAAUCCUGCUAAUCAAAACGAAGGAUUCAAUCAUUUAAAAAGUCAAGCAAUUACAGAGUCCAAUUAAGGUCUGAACUAGAUUCUUCCUGAAACUAUUAACAAUACCUGGGAACAGCAUCAAUUGUUGAGUAAGACGAAGCUGCCAAGAUGAUUUUUUGUUAUGCAACAACCUCUGUCAAACGACCUCCACCGAACGAAGAGUUUCUGAAAUUAAAAACACAACCUGAACUCCUGCUCAGAUGGGACAGUUAUACGAUCCACUUAUCUUACUUUUCUUCGAUUCGAAAAUUUGAACUCUCGUCCAUGAGUUUUGAUCGUCUAUGGCGUUUCCGAAAUUUUGGGAACAGAGAGCGGUGAAAAUAAAAAUGAUGGGAAAAUUGUUAUGCGAUAUAUUAAUGAGGGGAAUUGUUGUACUUACACACAGAAAAAAAAUGGAUAAAGUACCUUAAUAGCAAGAAGUGUCUUUUUUAGUAAAGAAAGUAAAGAAAUUGCCUUUUAUUGUAAUUCAAC